rnacentral:rRNA from 1 species
UACGAAGGGUGCAAGCGUUACUCGGAAUUACUGGGCGUAAAGAGCUCGUAGGCGGCUUGUCGCGUCGGAUGUGAAAGCCCGGGGCUUAACUCCGGGUCUGCAUUCGAUACGGGCAGGCUAGAGUGUGGUAGGGGAGAUCGGAAUUCCUGGUGUAGCGGUGAAAUGCGUAGAUAUCAGGAGGAACACCGGUGGUGUAAACGGUUUUCUGGACCAUAACUGACGCUGAGGCACGAAAGCGUGGGUAGCAAACAGG